rnacentral:tRNA from 1 species
GGGCCGUUAGCUCAGUUCGGUAGAGCAGCGGACUUUUAAUCCGUUGGUCGUGAGUUCGACUCUCGCACGGCCCACCA